rnacentral:rRNA from 1 species
UACGUAGGUCCCGAGCGUUGUCCGGAUUUAUUGGGUGUAAAGGGAGCGUAGACGGUUCUGCAAGUCUGAAGUGAAAGCCCGUGGCUUAACCGCGGAACGGCUUUGGAAACUGUGGAACUGGAGUGCUGGAGAGGCAAGCGGAAUUCCUAGUGUAGCGGUGAAAUGCGUAGAUAUUAGGAGGAACACCAGUGGCGAAGGCGGCUUGCUGGACAGUAACUGACGUUGAGGCUCGAAAGCGUGGGGAGCAAACAGG